GGGGGCCCGCACAAGCGGUGGAGCAUGUGGUCUAAUUCGAAGCAACGCGCAGAACCUUACCACCUUUUGACAUGCCUGGACCGCCAGAGAGAUCUGGCUUUCUCUUCGGAGACUAGGACACAGGUGCUGCAUGGCUGUCGUCAGCUCGUGUCGUGAGAUGUUGGGUUAAGUCCCGCAACGAGCGCAACCCUCGUUCCAUGUUGCCAGCGCGUAAUGGCGGGGACUCAUGGGAGACUGCCGGGGUCAACUCGGAGGAAGGUGGGGACGACGUCAAAUCAUCAUGCCCCUUAUGUCUUGGGCUUCACGCAUGCUACAAUGGCCGGUACAAAGGGUUGCGAUACUGUGAGGUGGAGCUAAUCCCAAAAAGCCGGUCUCAGUUCGGAUUGGGGUCUGCAACUCGACCCCAUGAAGUCGGAGUCGCUAGUAAUCGUAGAUCAGCAACGCUACGGUGAAUACGUUCCCGGGCCUUGUACACACCGCCCGUCAAGUCAUGAAAGUCGGUAGCACCCGAAGCCGGUGGCCUAACCUUUUGGAGGGAGCCGUCGAAGGUGGGAUCGGUGAUUAGGACUAAGUCGUAACAAGGUAACCGUAAGGGC
rnacentral:rRNA from 1 species